rnacentral:rRNA from 1 species
AGUGAACGCUGGCGGUAGGCCUAACACAUGCAAGUCGAACGGCAGCACAGUAAUAGCUUGCUCUUACGGGUGGCGAGUGGCGGACGGGUGAGGAAUACAUCGGAAUCUACUUUUUCUUGGGUGAUAACGUAGGGACACUUACGCUAAUACCGCAUACGACCUACGGGUGAAAUCAGGGGAUCUUCGGACCUUGCGCGAUUGAAUGACCCGAUGUCGGAUUAGCUAGUUGGCGGGGUAAAGGCCCACCAAGGCGACGAUACGUAGCUGGUCUGAGAGGAUGAUGAGACACACUGGAAAUGAGACAAGGUGCAGACUCAUACGGGAGGCAGCAGUGGGGAAUAUUGGACAAUGGGCGGAAGCCUGAGCAAGACAUGCCGCGUGGGUGAAGAAGGUCUUAGGAUUGUAAAGCACUUUAAGUUAGGAGGAAGGGAAGUAAGUUAAUACCUUGCUGUUUGGACGUUACCAAAAGAAUAAGCACCGGCUAACUUCGUG